CAGCCGCCACGGUAAUACAGAGGGUGCAAGCGUUAAUCGGAAUUACUGGGCGUAAAGCGCGCGUAGGUGGUUCGCCAAGUUGGAUGUGAAAUCCCCGGGCUCAACCUGGGAACUGCAUCCAAAACUGGCAAGCUAGAGUAUGGUAGAGGGUGGUGGAAUUUCCUGUGUAGCGGUGAAAUGCGUAGAUAUAGGAAGGAACAUCAGUGGCGAAGGCGACCACCUGGACUGAUACUGACACUGAGGUGCGAAAGCGUGGGGAGCAAACAGGAUUAGAUACCCGCGUAGUCCCUGUCUCUUAUAC
rnacentral:rRNA from 1 species